ACAAGCGGUGGAGCAUGUGGUUAAUCGACGCAACGCGAAGAACCUUACCAGGGCUUGACAUCCCUGACCGCGUAUGGAAGUACGUUUCACCCUCGGGUGACAGGGAGACAGGUGGUGCAUGGUUGUCGUCAGCUCGUGUCGUGAGAUGUUGGGUUAAGUCCCGCAACGAGCGCAACCCCUAUUGUUAGUUGCCAUCAUUCAGUUGGGCACUCUAGCGAGACUGCCGGUAAUAAACCGGAGGAAGGUGGGGAUGACGUCAAAUCAUCAUGCCCCUUAUGACCUGGGCUACACACGUGCUACAAUGGUUGGUACAACGAGUUGCGAGUCGGUGACGGCGAGCUAAUCUCUUAAAGCCAAUCUCAGUUCGGAUUGUAGGCUGCAACUCGCCUACAUGAAGUCGGAAUCGCUAGUAAUCGCGGAUCAGCACGCCGCGAUGAAUACGUUCCCGGGCCUU
rnacentral:rRNA from 1 species